UCUUGUAUGUCUUGAGCAAGAAGCAGGGAGACCAUCAUUUUGACUAUCGCAGUGUGUCAAUUCUGAAGGAUCACUAGUGUUACUGUGACCCCCUUUGUUUGCAGUGAAGGGGAUCAUUUGCUUCUCAGUCCUCAACUUGAUGAGGAAAUGGUGCUGUUUGCUGGCACGCAAGAAGCCGGGGCAAGCACCGUAAGCCUCACCACAGUGCACGAGUCGGGGGCUUUGCUGGUUUGAAGAGCCGGAGUUGCUGAAAUUUAAGUUUUGAUUUAUUUUGUUCACCCAUCACGUUUGGCCUUAGUUUCAUUUUUAAUUUGAAGAAAAGUUUGAAAUUGCUUUAUCUUGCUCUUAACAUUUGCACCAAAUUGCCAAAAGAAGGAGAAAUGCUCCGCUUGCUUUUUAAAUGUUAAUGAUGAUGUUAAUAAAGCCUUUCCUGACACAUUUGAGGAGCUCCUCCAUCUUCAGGGGCUUCUUACCAGAGUUAUGCAGUGAUGGGUUUAGUUCUGAAUGGAUGAAGAGUUCCUGAGAGCUAGCGUUUGUAAUUAGAACCGUUACUUGGUAUCUGUGCCUUAUUUGACCUGUGGUUCCACAUGCCUUGGAUGUGCAUGCACCGUGACGGUUUCAUAGGUACGAACGCACACUCAGGCCCAGUCACUUCGGUUGGUAGUACAGAUUGUGAGGAAAAAAUGGAGGCAUCCUUAAGGAGGAAAAAGUGUUUGCCUUUAGUUCCUGCAUUAUCCUGUACAGGGGCUCCUGAGCUUUGGAAGCUGUUUCCAGUACAGGAGAACAACUCCCCUGUUUGCAGCAGGAGACUUCGGUGCACAGUGACAACGCUGGAGUUCAAGAGGAAGCCAGCAGUGCUGCACCAUUGGCUUCAGACACCAUUGUUGUUUGCCAGUUUUAAACUUAACUAGUUGCAGACGAAGACCACCUUGAAAUGCAGGCUUGUUGGGCUUGUUUUGAAUUUUAACCUCGGAUGGAAGAGGCCUAGUGCUGUCUGUCUCCAUGCGGGAUGAUGAUUACUUAGGCAACAGGUGAUUAUCAACAAAGGAUGCCACGCUUAUACUCUGCAAGGUGGUGUUCCAGUGGCAAACAGCUGUAUAAACUCUUGUAAACAGGAACUACUGACAAUCAAAAACCUAUAGCCGACUUGGGAUAUGGCUUUAUUAUUCAGCAACUAAAAGAUGAGUUCUAAUUGGCAGACUUCUGGCAUUGGCACUUGUCCUUCUGUUUCUAUAGAAACUGGGUUGGAAGUCAGAGCUGCACAAAGGGAAAGGCUUCUCUCCUCUCUUAGCCAAGCAGGACGAGGUCAUCUCUUGGGCACAUACAUGUGUUCUCAUCCAGGCAGACACCCAUUAAUCGUAGAACCUAAGACACCUGCCAGUUGGUGAGUUAUCUUAUUACUGUAGCUUCAGAGGACUAUGCUGCACAGCUGGGGCAUUUAGGCUUGAAAUGGUUUAAUCAAAUGUGAUAAACUCCUUUGAUCUACAGGUUGG